rnacentral:tRNA from 1 species
GGAAAUAUGCCUGAAUUAAAGGACUACUUUGAUAGAGCAGAUUAUAGAGGUUAAAUUCCCCUUAUUUCCU